rnacentral:rRNA from 1 species
AUUGAACGCUGGCGGCAGGCCUAACACAUGCAAGUCGAACGAGUGGCGGACGGGUGAGUAAUGUCUGGGAAACUGCCUGAUGGAGGGGGAUAAAUACUGGAAACGGUAGCUAAUACCGCAUACCAUCGGAUGUGCCCAGAUGGGAUUAGCUAGUAGGUGGGGUAAAGGCUCACCUAGGCGACGAUCCCUAGCUGGUCUGAGAGGAUGACCGGCCACACGGGAACUGAGACACGGUCCAGACUCCGACGGGAGGCAGCAUUGGGGAAUAUUGCACAAUGGUCGCAAGCCUGAUGCAGCCAUGCCGCGGGUAUGAAGAAGGCCUUCGGGUUGUAAAGUACUUUCAGCUGGGAGGAGUUACUCGCAGAAGAAGCACCGGCUAACUCCGUGCCAGCAGCCGCGGUAAUAC